AUUGAACGCUGGCGGCAGGCUUAACACAUGCAAGUCGAACGAGUGGCGGACGGGUGAGUAAUGUUUGGGAAACUGCAUGAUGGAGGGGGAUAACUCCUGGAAAAGGUAGCUAAUACAGCAUACCAUAGGCUGAGCCCCAUUGGGAUUAGGUAGUUGGUGGGGUAACGGCGCACCAACGCGACGAUUCCUAGCUGUUCUGAGAGGAUGACCUGCAACACUGGUACUGAGACACGGUCCAGACUCCUACGGGAGGCAGCAGUGGGGAAUAUUGCGCAAUGGGGGCAAGCCGGAUGCAGCCAUGCCGCGUGGAUGAAGAAGGCCUUCGGUUUGUAAAGUGGUUUCGGCGGGGAGGCGUUAACCGCAGAAGAUGUACCGGCGAACGCCGUGCUAGCAGCCGCGGUAAUUC
rnacentral:rRNA from 1 species